rnacentral:rRNA from 2 species
GGGUUGUGAGGUUAAGCGACUAAGCGUACACGGUGGAUGCCCUGGCAGUCAGAGGCGAUGAAGGACGUGCUAAUCUGCGAUAAGCGUCGGUAAGGUGAUAUGAACCGUUAUAACCGGCGAUUUCCGAAUGGGGAAACCCAGUGUGUUUCGACACACUAUCAUUAACUGAAUCCAUAGGUUAAUGAGGCGAACCGGGGGAACUGAAACAUCUAAGUACCCCGAGGAAAAGAAAUCAACCGAGAUUCCCCCAGUAGCGGCGAGCGAACGGGGAGGAGCCCAGAGCCUGAAUCAGUGUGUGUGUUAGUGGAAGCGUCUGGAAAGGCGCGCGAUACAGGGUGACAGCCCCGUACACAAAAAUGCACAUGCUGUGAGCUCGAUGAGUAGGGCGGGACACGUGGUAUCCUGUCUGAAUAUGGGGGGACCAUCCUCCAAGGCUAAAUACUCCUGACUGACCGAUAGUGAACCAGUACCGUGAGGGAAAGGCGAAAAGAACCCCGGCGAGGGGAGUGAAAAAGAACCUGAAACCGUGUACGUACAAGCAGUGGGAGCCUCUUUUAUGGGGUGACUGCGUACCUUUUGUAUAAUGGGUCAGCGACUUAUAUUCUGUAGCAAGGUUAACCGAAUAGGGGAGCCGAAGGGAAACCGAGUCUUAACCGGGCGUUAAGUUGCAGGGUAUAGACCCGAAACCCGGUGAUCUAGCCAUGGGCAGGUUGAAGGUUGGGUAACACUAACUGGAGGACCGAACCGACUAAUGUUGAAAAAUUAGCGGAUGACUUGUGGCUGGGGGUGAAAGGCCAAUCAAACCGGGAGAUAGCUGGUUCUCCCCGAAAGCUAUUUAGGUAGCGCCUCGUGAAUUCAUCUCCGGGGGUAGAGCACUGUUUCGGCAAGGGGGUCAUCCCGACUUACCAACCCGAUGCAAACUGCGAAUACCGGAGAAUGUUAUCACGGGAGACACACGGCGGGUGCUAACGUCCGUCGUGAAGAGGGAAACAACCCAGACCGCCAGCUAAGGUCCCAAAGUCAUGGUUAAGUGGGAAACGAUGUGGGAAGGCCCAGACAGCCAGGAUGUUGGCUUAGAAGCAGCCAUCAUUUAAAGAAAGCGUAAUAGCUCACUGGUCGAGUCGGCCUGCGCGGAAGAUGUAACGGGGCUAAACCAUGCACCGAAGCUGCGGCAGCGACACUGUGUGUUGUUGGGUAGGGGAGCGUUCUGUAAGCCUGUGAAGGUGUGCUGUGAGGCAUGCUGGAGGUAUCAGAAGUGCGAAUGCUGACAUAAGUAACGAUAAAGCGGGUGAAAAGCCCGCUCGCCGGAAGACCAAGGGUUCCUGUCCAACGUUAAUCGGGGCAGGGUGAGUCGACCCCUAAGGCGAGGCCGAAAGGCGUAGUCGAUGGGAAACAGGUUAAUAUUCCUGUACUUGGUGUUACUGCGAAGGGGGGACGGAGAAGGCUAUGUUGGCCGGGCGACGGUUGUCCCGGUUUAAGCGUGUAGGCUGGUUUUCCAGGCAAAUCCGGAAAAUCAAGGCUGAGGCGUGAUGACGAGGCACUACGGUGCUGAAGCAACAAAUGCCCUGCUUCCAGGAAAAGCCUCUAAGCAUCAGGUAACAUCAAAUCGUACCCCAAACCGACACAGGUGGUCAGGUAGAGAAUACCAAGGCGCUUGAGAGAACUCGGGUGAAGGAACUAGGCAAAAUGGUGCCGUAACUUCGGGAGAAGGCACGCUGAUAUGUAGGUGAAGUCCCUCGCGGAUGGAGCUGAAAUCAGUCGAAGAUACCAGCUGGCUGCAACUGUUUAUUAAAAACACAGCACUGUGCAAACACGAAAGUGGACGUAUACGGUGUGACGCCUGCCCGGUGCCGGAAGGUUAAUUGAUGGGGUCAGCGCAAGCGAAGCUCUUGAUCGAAGCCCCGGUAAACGGCGGCCGUAACUAUAACGGUCCUAAGGUAGCGAAAUUCCUUGUCGGGUAAGUUCCGACCUGCACGAAUGGCGUAAUGAUGGCCAGGCUGUCUCCACCCGAGACUCAGUGAAAUUGAACUCGCUGUGAAGAUGCAGUGUACCCGCGGCAAGACGGAAAGACCCCGUGAACCUUUACUAUAGCUUGACACUGAACAUUGAGCCUUGAUGUGUAGGAUAGGUGGGAGGCUUUGAAGUGUGGACGCCAGUCUGCAUGGAGCCGACCUUGAAAUACCACCCUUUAAUGUUUGAUGUUCUAACGUGGACCCGUGAUCCGGGUUGCGGACAGUGUCUGGUGGGUAGUUUGACUGGGGCGGUCUCCUCCUAAAGAGUAACGGAGGAGCACGAAGGUUGGCUAAUCCUGGUCGGACAUCAGGAGGUUAGUGCAAUGGCAUAAGCCAGCUUGACUGCGAGCGUGACGGCGCGAGCAGGUGCGAAAGCAGGUCAUAGUGAUCCGGUGGUUCUGAAUGGAAGGGCCAUCGCUCAACGGAUAAAAGGUACUCCGGGGAUAACAGGCUGAUACCGCCCAAGAGUUCAUAUCGACGGCGGUGUUUGGCACCUCGAUGUCGGCUCAUCACAUCCUGGGGCUGAAGUAGGUCCCAAGGGUAUGGCUGUUCGCCAUUUAAAGUGGUACGCGAGCUGGGUUUAGAACGUCGUGAGACAGUUCGGUCCCUAUCUGCCGUGGGCGCUGGAGAACUGAGGGGGGCUGCUCCUAGUACGAGAGGACCGGAGUGGACGCAUCACUGGUGUUCGGGUUGUCAUGCCAAUGGCACUGCCCGGUAGCUAAAUGCGGAAGAGAUAAGUGCUGAAAGCAUCUAAGCACGAAACUUGCCCCGAGAUGAGUUCUCCCUGACCCUUUAAGGGUCCUGAAGGAACGUUGAAGACGACGACGUUGAUAGGCCGGGUGUGUAAGCGCAGCGAUGCGUUGAGCUAACCGGUACUAAUGAACCGUGAGGCUUAACCUUACAACGCCGAAGGUGUUU